UCCUUGAUGGUCCAGUGGUUAGGACUCUGCACUCUUAGUGCUGAGGGCCCAGGUUCAAUGCCUGAUCAGGAAC
rfam:Ovis aries breed Texel chromosome 3, whole genome shotgun sequence.